GAUGAACGCUGGCGGCGUGCUUAACACAUGCAAGUCGAACGGUGAACACGGAGCUUGCUCUGUGGGAUCAGUGGCGAACGGGUGAGUAACACGUGAGCAACCUGCCCCUGACUCUGGGAUAAGCGCUGGAAGCGGCGUCUAAUACUGGAUAUGUGACGUGGCCGCAUGGUCUGCGUUUGGAAAGAUUUUUCGGUUGGGGAUGGGCUCGCGGCCUAUCAGCUUGUUGGUGAGGUAAUGGCUCACCAAGGCGUCGACGGGUAGCCGGCCUGAGAGGGUGACCGGCCACACUGGGACUGAGACACGGCCCAGACUCCUACGGGAGGCAGCAGUGGGGAAUAUUGCACAAUGGGCGCAAGCCUGAUGCAGCAACGCCGCGUGAGGGAUGACGGCCUUCGGGUUGUAAACCUCUUUUAGCAGGGAAGAAGCGAAAGUGACGGUACCUGCAGAAAAAGCGCCGGCUAACUACGUG
rnacentral:rRNA from 1 species